GGUCAAGCUACAAAGGGCUCACGGAGGAUACCUAGGCACACAGAGGCGAUGAAGGACGUGGUUACCUGCGAUAAGUCUCGGGGAGUUGGAAGCACACUUUGAUCCGGGAAUUUCCGAAUGGGGCAACCCCUUGAACGGCCAACUGAAUAUAUAGGUUGGAGCGAGCUAACCCAGCGAACUGAAACAUCUUAGU
rnacentral:rRNA from 1 species